GGCUCAAUGGUCUAGUCGCAUGAUUCCUUCUUCGGGUCCACCCAAUUGGAGGAGGUCCCGGGUUCAAUUCCCGGUUGAGCCC